UACAGAGGGUGCAAGCGUUAAUCGGAAUUAUUGGGCGUAAAGCGCACGUAGGCGGCUCAACAAGUCGGAUGUGAAAUCCCUCGGCUCAACCAAGGAAGUGCAUCCGAAACUGCAGUGCUUGAGUACUUAAGAGGAUCGCGGAAUUCCCGGUGUAGAGGUGAAAUUCGUAGAUAUCGGGAGGAACACCAGUGGCGAAGGCGGCGAUCUGGGAAGAUACUGACGCUGAGGUGCGAAAGCGUGGGGAGCAAACAGG
rnacentral:rRNA from 1 species